UUAGAAAUAGUGGCCAAAAGGUUUUUGAAAGGUUUUAAAGAUAACUUUAGUAGCACUACUAAAGCACAACCACCCCAUAUUUGCUGGAGAAUAAGGACCUUGCAUCGGAUAAUGGAUUGAUUCUUCAAUUUGGUGUUUGAUUUUAUUUUGUCUUCUUGGUUGCUGAAAAGGUGGCAGUUUCUACUAAGAGCUCCAGGUCAGACAAGUAAUGUAUGGGAAGCUGUUGCUGAUAGCAAAAAGCUCAUACAAAAUUAGGGAAGAAGCUAACCCUGAAAAGUUCAUGCGCAGAGGAACACAAUUACUCUCUAUUUUAGGGUGGAAGAAGAGGAGGUACCUAAUGAAGGAAAAUAGACACUCUGUGUCAGGUGAGUCAUACUUAUUUUUCUGUUUUUGUGAAGCUACUUAUCUGUCUGCUGAAGCAUGACUCUGGUUAAACAACCAGAAGAUGCUGCAAGCCAUAAAAAGGUUUACAUCUGUAAUUGCUCUUUAUAACAUUCUAUGUCUCUGCACAGAAUGUAAUAUUUUUUAAUUUUGGAGCUGCCAAA